AUUGAACGCUGGCGGCAGGCCUAACACAUGCAAGUCGAGCGGAUGAAGGGAGCUUGCUCCUGGAUUCAGCGGCGGACGGGUGAGUAAUGCCUAGGAAUCUGCCUGGUAGUGGGGGAUAACGUCCGGAAACGGGCGCUAAUACCGCAUACGUCCUGAGGGAGAAAGUGGGGGAUCUUCGGACCUCACGCUAUCAGAUGAGCCUAGGUCGGAUUAGCUAGUUGGUGGGGUAAAGGCCUACCAAGGCGACGAUCCGUAACUGGUCUGAGAGGAUGAUCAGUCACACUGGAACUGAGCCACGGUCCAGACUCCUCCGGGAGGCAGCAGUGGGGAAUAUUGGACAAUGGGCGAAAGCCUGAUCCAGCCAUGCCGCGUGUGUGAAGAAGGUCUUCGGAUUGUAAAGCACUUUCAGUUGGGAGGAAGGGCAGUAAGUUAAUAACUUGCUGUUUUGACGUUACCAACAGACUAAGCACCGGCUAACUUCGUG
rnacentral:rRNA from 1 species